CCGGCGGCGGGCUGCGGGCCUCCUCCGCGGGGUGCCGGCGGGGCACAAGCAGCCUUGGUGGCUCUCUGCCGCUGCGGUGGGCGCCCCUUGGCCGGCUUGUCUAGCACUACCUUGAGCCAAAUUCCUAGACUGGCUGGUGCUUUCUCAUGGGAUCCCUGUGACUGACAAAGGAGAGAUUGUUGUGACUGCUCUGCAAUGACUACAGCAAGAUAUAGGCCUACCUGGGACUUGGUACUAGACCCAUUAGUGUCCUGCAAGCUCUGCCUCGGUGAAUAUCCUGUGGAGCAGAUGACAACGAUAGCACAAUGCCAAUGCAUCUUCUGU